GAAGUUCGCCAGGCAACCGCUGAGCAUGAAAGUGCUUGGAGGAAAGUCCGGGCCCCAUAGAGCGGAAUGCCGGCUAACGGCCGGGCGCUAUAAGUCGAAAGACCCAAGGCGACAGACAGUGCAACAGAAAGAUACCGCCUAAGCCCGACUUAGACGCCGCAAGGCGGCAAAGUCCUUUUCUGAAGAGCAGCUCGCUGCGAUGAAGGAAAGAAAGGGCCGGUAAGGGUGAAAUGGUGGGGUAAGAGCCCACCGCGGACGUGGUAACACGGACGGCAUGGCAAACCUCAUUCGGGGCAAGGCCAAAUAGGGGAGUAAUGGCGUGGCUCGCGUCGCUCCCGGGUAGGCUGCUAGAGGCCGUCGGCAACGGCGGUCCCAGAGGAAUGGUUGCCCACGACAGAACCCGGCUUAUCGGCGGACUUCCCAC
rnacentral:RNase_P_RNA from 3 species